rnacentral:rRNA from 1 species
AGUGAACGCUGGCGGUAGGCCUAACACAUGCAAGUCGAACGGCAGCACAGGAGAGCUUGCUCUCUGGGUGGCGAGUGGCGGACGGGUGAGGAAUACAUCGGAAUCUACCUUUUCGUGGGGGAUAACGUAGGGAAACUUACGCUAAUACCGCAUACGACCUACGGGUGAAAGUGGGGGACCGCAAGGCCUCACGCGAUUAGAUGAGCCGAUGUCCGAUUAGCUAGUUGGCGGGGUAAUGGCCCACCAGGGCGACGAUCGGUAGCUGGUCUGAGGGGAUGGUCAGGCACACUGGAACUGAGACACGGGCCAGACUCCUACGGGAAGCAGCAGUGGGGAAUAUUGGACAAUGGGCGCAAGCCUGAUCCAGCCAUACCGCGUGGGUGAAGAAGGCCUUCGGGUCGUUAAGCCCUUUUGUUGGGAAAGAAAUCCAGCUUGCUAAUACCCGGUUGGGAUGACGGUACCCAAAGAAUAAGCACCGGCUAACUUCGUGCCAGCCGCCGCGGUAAAAC